rnacentral:rRNA from 1 species
UACGGAGGAUGCAAGCGUUAUCCGGAAUGAUUGGGCGUAAAGCGUCCGCAGGUGGCAAUGUAAGUCUGCUGUUAAAGCGCGAGGCUUAACUUCGUACAGGCAGUGGAAACUGGGUGACUGGAGUAUGGUAGGGGUAGCGGGAAUUCCCAGUGUAGCGGUGAAAUGCGUAGAUAUUGGGAAGAACACCAGCGGCGAAAGCGCGCUACUGGGCCAUUACUGACGCUCAUGGACGAAAGCUAGGGGAGCGAAAGGG